GACAGCUGGCAUCCUCCAAUUUUAUUUAUAUAUUACAUUUAUCUGGCAACGUAUGUAUUGUACACACACACACACAUAUACAGGUUGCUGAUUUGUUGCAAGGUACUCAUUACUACCUUUAAAGCACUAAACACUUUGAACCCCAGAUAUCUUCAGGACCACCUGCUUGCAGAAUCUACCCACUGGACAAGAUCUACAAGGAGCGCUCUGCUUUGUGAGCUGAUACUAAGGGUGGUGUAUCUGGUGUGUACUCAGGGACAAUGCCUCCUCGAUGAUAGCCCCCAGAUUGAGGGAUGCUCUCCUGGAUGAAGCUUGGACUUCCCCUCUCUUUAGUUGUUUUGGAGAGGGUGAGGACUGUUUUCACAGUCCUAACCACACAUGCUUUUAGGUACUGCUUGAUUUUCUAAUUGUUUGUCUUGUUUGUUGCUGUUUUAUAUUGGUGGGUUUGGGAUAGAUUUUAAAUUAGAUGUUUUUAGAUGGUUAUUUUGUAUACCACAGACGGUUUCUUUCCCUUCUUUCCUUUCAGCUUAAUGGCCACCUGGCAUACUGAGGGCUUCUGCCUGUACUCUUUCCUUCAUGGUGCCACAGUGGCAUGGCAGGAUGUGGGCAACACACACACACACACACACACACACACCCUCUUUCCCAAUUUAGGGUGGGUUUUCAUUUUUUCUAUAUUUUUCUACAUAUUCAGGAUGUCCCCUCCCACCCCAGUUACAUAGAAACCAUCCCUUUCUCUGUGAGUGGCCCCAUGUUAGAAGCAAUGGCAGGAAAAAACAGGAAAGUCAUCUGAUCAAGAAGAAGGAGAACCAGAUUCAGGCUUCAGUGGAACUGAGGCUGCAAGCAAGACAAAGGAACUAGUUUAAGGCGGACUACUUUUAAUGACUAUUAGAGACUAUUAGAGACGCAAGUUUUGGGUGGUAUAGAAAUGUAAAUAAAUACAUAAAUACUUGUUUAAACUAGUAUUUGGGUCCCAUGUAGAAUGUCAGUUUGGACAUCGAGACCUCCACACAAACACACAUGCAAUAAAGGAAUGGGCUGGGAGGUCAUUAGGAUGCCUGGGAAAGACAUCAGGACAACUGCAUUCAUGGUGGGUCCCCCUUCUUAAUAAAGUGAACAUAGGAAGCUGGCUUCUACCGAGUCAGACCAUUGGUCCAUCUAGCUCAGUACUGUCUACACAGACUGACAGCAGCUUCUCCAAGAUUACAGGCAAGAGACUCUCUCAGCCCUAUCUGGAGAUGCCAGGGAGGGAAGGGAACUUGGAACCUCAGAUGCCCAGAGAGCGGCAUGUUUGGUGGUAGCUUUGCAUGUCUCAGCAGAGAUAAACAGGAAAGAGAAGAUGGGACAGGACAAGGGCAUCACUACAUGGACAAAGAAUGUGUGAGAGAGCCCUCCAUGCAAUUGAACAGGUUUCUGGAGUGCACUCUUAAACCAUGUGGGAAGCCAGACAUGCAGGAAUCUGCAGAGCUGCAGAGAGAUAUUGUGCAGUUUGACUCCCGGCUUGCCACAGACUCCUUCUCAAAAUGAACAGAGCACUUCUUUUCUUCUAUAAUUUUCACACCGAUUUACAGGUGUUCAUGCACUGGAUAAAGAUCAUACACCCUUGAAGUAUGUGGUAAAGGAACCCUACAUCCUGGACUUGCUAGGCACUGAAAAUCAAAACAGAUCUUUUAUAUUCCACAAAUACAUGAUAUGCAUCAUUUUUGAAGAAUAACUCUUUGUGCCUGUACUAAUUUGGAGAAUGAACUUGUAUGACCUAAAAUGUAUCUGUAUGUUUUUAACCAUCAUCUUUAAAAAAAACACCCACAGAUUUUGUGAAAUACAUUAUAAAUCAGCUAGAAGACAUACAAUAUGUGUGGUGUGUUUCCCAACCCCGACUCCCCCAUCACCACCACAACCAAGACAAUCCUCUGUGUUCAAAGCUAAGAUGAUGAUUAGUUAUAACAAAGAGACAAUAGAUUAAUAAAGAAAAAAUGAAUAAUGAUUUUUAGAAAAAGGUUUAUACCCAGAUAUCCAACUUCCCUUUGCCAGAUGGCUGACAAAGAAGAGAGCAAACUUGAUUUCAAAUAAACUUAAGCAUAGGGUUUAGGUUUAGGGGCUUUUUGAAAAAUAGAAAAUGAAAGAUAUGAACUGCUUCAGAGUCAUUAUUUUCAGCAGAGUAACUUGCGUUGAGCUUUCAAGUCUGGUUUGAAUAAGAUUUUUGUCUUCCUUGAAUAAAAAUCAUAUGUGAUUCCGGCCGGGCAAUGGCCUGGACCAUUUGCUAAUACUAAUUGUUGUUGGUUAAAAGUAUGGUAGAAGAUUGUUAAAGUCUUCCCUGGCAGUAACUUGAUCUGUAGAAAUGUA